rnacentral:rRNA from 1 species
AUUGAACGCUGGCGGCAUGCCUUACACAUGCAAGUCGAACGGCAGCACAGGUGCUUGCACCUGGUGGCGAGUGGCGAACGGGUGAGUAAUACAUCGGAACAUGUCCUGUAGUGGGGGAUAGCCCGGCGAAAGCCGGAUUAAUACCGCAUACGAUCCACGGAUGAAAGCGGGGGACCUUCGGGCCUCGCGCUAUAGGGUUGGCCGAUGGCUGAUUAGCUAGUUGGUGGGGUAAAGGCCUACCAAGGCGACGAUCAGUAGCUGGUCUGAGAGGACGACCAGCCACACUGGGACUGAGACACGGCCCAGACUCCUACGGGAGGCAGCAGUGGGGAAUUUUGGACAAUGGGCGAAAGCCUGAUCCAGCAAUGCCGCGUGUGUGAAGAAGGCCUUCGGGUUGUAAAGCACUUUUGUCCGGAAAGAAAUCCUUGGCUCUAAUACAGUCGGGGAUGACGGUACCGGAAGAAUAAGCACCGGCUAACUACGUG